AAAUUGAAGAGUUUGAUCAUGGCUCAGAUUGAACGCUGGCGGCAGGCCUAACACAUGCAAGUCGAACGGUAACAGGAAGCAGCUUGCUGCUUUGCUGACGAGUGGCGGACGGGUGAGUAAUGUCUGGGAAACUGCCUGAUGGAGGGGGAUAACUACUGGAAACGGUGGCUAAUACCGCAUAACGUCGCAAGACCAAAGAGGGGGACCUUCGGGCCUCUUGCCAUCAGAUGUGCCCAGAUGGGAUUAGCUAGUUGGUGAGGUAACGGCUCACCAAGGCGACGAUCCCUAGCUGGUCUGAGAGGAUGACCAGCCACACUGGAACUGAGACACGGUCCAGACUCCUACGGGAGGCAGCAGUGGGGAAUAUUGCACAAUGGGCGCAAGCCUGAUGCAGCCAUGCCGCGUGUAUGAAGAAGGCCUUCGGGUUGUAAAGUACUUUCAGCGGGGAGGAAGGUGUUGUGGUUAAUAACCACAGCAAUUGACGUUACCCGCAGAAGAAGCACCGGCUAACUCCGUGCCAGCAGCCGCGGUAAUACGGAGGGUGCAAGCGUUAAUCGGAAUUACUGGGCGUAAAGCGCACGCAGGCGGUCUGUCAAGUCGGAUGUGAAAUCCCCGGGCUCAACCUGGGAACUGCAUUCGAAACUGGCAGGCUUGAGUCUUGUAGAGGGGGGUAGAAUUCCAGGUGUAGCGGUGAAAUGCGUAGAGAUCUGGAGGAAUACCGGUGGCGAAGGCGGCCCCCUGGACAAAGACUGACGCUCAGGUGCGAAAGCGUGGGGAGCAAACAGGAUUAGAUACCCUGGUAGUCCACGCCGUAAACGAUGUCUACUUGGAGGUUGUGCCCUUGAGGCGUGGCUUCCGGAGCUAACGCGUUAAGUAGACCGCCUGGGGAGUACGGCCGCAAGGUUAAAACUCAAAUGAAUUGACGGGGGCCCGCACAAGCGGUGGAGCAUGUGGUUUAAUUCGAUGCAACGCGAAGAACCUUACCUGGUCUUGACAUCCACAGAACUUUCCAGAGAUGGAUUGGUGCCUUCGGGAACUGUGAGACAGGUGCUGCAUGGCUGUCGUCAGCUCGUGUUGUGAAAUGUUGGGUUAAGUCCCGCAACGAGCGCAACCCUUAUCCUUUGUUGCCAGCGAUUCGGUCGGGAACUCAAAGGAGACUGCCAGUGAUAAACUGGAGGAAGGUGGGGAUGACGUCAAGUCAUCAUGGCCCUUACGACCAGGGCUACACACGUGCUACAAUGGCGCAUACAAAGAGAAGCGACCUCGCGAGAGCAAGCGGACCUCAUAAAGUGCGUCGUAGUCCGGAUUGGAGUCUGCAACUCGACUCCAUGAAGUCGGAAUCGCUAGUAAUCGUGGAUCAGAAUGCCACGGUGAAUACGUUCCCGGGCCUUGUACACACCGCCCGUCACACCAUGGGAGUGGGUUGCAAAAGAAGUAGGUAGCUUAACCUUCGGGAGGGCGCUUACCACUUUGUGAUUCAUGACUGGGGUGAAGUCGUAACAAGGUAACCGUAGGGGAACCUGCGGUUGGAUCACCUCCUUA
rnacentral:rRNA from 1 species